GUUCUGUUGUGAAAAUAUCUGAUGUGAUUGGUCAAAAGACCAAUUAGUGGAAGAAAAAUCAGAAUGCAGCUGCCUGUGUAAACUCAGCAUUUGUGACUUUCUGAAAAAAUUGCCCCCUCCCCUUAUUAUCUCAUGCUGUUUAGUCUUACUUUCUCUUUGCUAUUAGAACAGAUCACUUCAAAACACAACUGCAAUACAGUUAACAGAAAAUAAUCCCAUAGCUGCAGGAUCCAUAUUGGAGCGCAGAGGUCAUUUUCAACAGGGCUCUUUCGUGUAAUUUCAGAUUUUCAUAAAGUGUGCACUAUAAAUGGCACCCGAGAUUAAAUACUACACAGUUGAGACUGGCAAUACUUUGGAUUCUCAUAUUCAGUUUAUGAGUCAACUCAACAAGACCACAAGAUGUUUUACGGAAGUCGAGUCGCCAGUGGAGAGUGAUGUCAUCCUGGCUUUCUGUCCCAUCGUCUCCCGCGCCGGGACUGAUAUUGAAGCAGCACUGCAACAGAUUCCAAUUGGUAAAGAUGUAAUUCUGGUAGUGCUGCAUCACAUCUUCAACCCAGACUCCACUGUACCUGACAGCUGCAGACUAGUGACCAGAAGUGAUGUAAUACUCACAGUGGACUGUCUGUUCCAUGAGAGCCAGGGAGGACUACUGGACUGUCCUCGCAAUGAUGCAGCAGUCAGCGCGAUUCUGAGGAGGCUGAUUAAACAACCUAAGAGAGGUGCAGGGGGCCCAACGCUCCUAACCUCCAGGCCACCUGCCGCCCCCCGGAACAGAUCACAUCAAACCACAACUGCAAUACAGUUGGCAGAAAAUAAUCCCAUAACUGCAGGCAGCAGACUAGUGACCAGAAGUGAUGUAAUACUCACAGUGGACUGUCUGUCCCAUGAGAACCAGAGAGGACUAGUGGAGUGUCCUCACAAUGAUGCAGCAGCCAGCGCGAUUAGGAAGAAGCUUGGCAUAGAUCUUAUGACCAGAAGUCAUGGCUUUCUAUCUAGGAUUAUAAACAUUGUCAUGGCGGCAGCGACUUCAGUCUACGACUACUUUUUCAAUCACAGUAGGUUCUAUUGUGUGGUCAUUCAUCUGUUCAAUUUGAUACAGUAAUCAUCACAGGUCAAAUCAGCACUAACGUCUUGUGUUUUAUGUUUCCUAAUCUUUUCAAGAUCCACGUCCUUCUUAAAGACCUUGUUCUGGCAGUCUGAGAUUGUGAGCUAUAUAAUGAUCCAUGUCCCUCUUCAAGACCUCGUUCCAGAAGUGAUGAAAGCAGUUCCACUUUUGUACCAGCAAUGAGACAUGUUGAUUGUUUUCAUGGAUUACAUCUUUAAUUUCAUGGCCUACUUAAGAAAAUGUCUUUACUUUUGAUGCUAAGAGCACUUGCGGUUGUAAUGUAUAGAAAUUGGGGCCGAUAUAAAAAAUGUUAAUAAAAAUGAAUGGAAAAAAAUAAAGAACAAACCGUAUCUGUG